rnacentral:rRNA from 1 species
UACAGAGGUCUCAAGCGUUUGUUCGGAUUCAUUGGGCGUAAAGGGUGCGUAGGCGGCGCGGUAAGUCGGGUGUGAAAUCUCGGAGCUUAACUCCGAAACUGCAUUCGAUACUGCCGUGCUUGAGGACUGGAGAGGAGACUGGAAUUUACGGUGUAGCGGUGAAAUGCGUAGAUAUCGUAAGGAAGACCAGUGGCGAAGGCGGGUCUCUGGACAGUUCCUGACGCUGGAGGAGCGAAAGGCGUGGGGAGCGAACAGG